rnacentral:rRNA from 1 species
CAGCAGCCGCGGGAAAACGGAGGGUGCAAGCGUUAAUCGGAAUUACUGGGCGUAAAGCGUGCGUAGGCGGUUCGUUAAGUCUGUUGUGAAAGCCCCGGGCUCAACCUGGGAAUGGCAAUGGAUACUGGCGAGCUAGAGUGUGUCAGAGGAUGGUGGAAUUCCCGGUGUAGCGGUGAAAUGCGUAGAGAUCGGGAGGAACAUCAGUGACGAAGGCGGCCAUCUGGGACAACACUGACGCUGAGGCACGAAAGCGUGGGGAGCAAACAGGAUUAGAUACCCGUGUAGUCCCUGUCUCUUAUAC